rnacentral:misc_RNA from 1 species
AAGUCGUAACAAGGUUUCCGUAGGUGAACCUGCGGAAGGAUCAUUAACACGUAUCCAACGUUAAACCCCCCGUGAACCUUCAUUGUGCUCCCCCAUUCCGUUAGGACGCGGCAAUCUCUGGUAAAUCAUAGUGAACAGCUUUGAUUCAGAGACCUCUGAAUAACCUUGGGCGGUCGCGGUUGGUGAGGCAAGUGACCUGGUACCCUCAAGACCAGUGUUCAAUGAUCUGUCAGUGUUCAUUGACUGGAAUCAAACGUUCUGUCAGUGUGCGUUUGAUUUGCAAGGGUGGCGCAGUAAACGAUCGCUGGAGGCCGACACGGCCGGCGACUGGGUCAGCGAGCUUUGCUCCCACUGUUACUACUUACAAGAUUUCCCAAUUAGUGAAAGCUAUUGGGCUAUAACUAAACGACUGUUAACAAUGGAUAUCUCGAUUCUC